AACUACGGCCUUGCCAGUCUGAACACGCCUGAUCUUGUCUAAUCUUGGAAGCUAAGCUGAGUCGGGCCUGGUUAGUACUUGGACGGGAGACCACCUAGGAAGACCAGUUGCUGUAGACU
rnacentral:rRNA from 1 species